rnacentral:rRNA from 1 species
GACAGAGGGUGCAAACGUUGUUCGGAAUUACUGGGCGUAAAGCGCGUGUAGGCAGUCUCGCAAGUCGGGUGUGAAAGCCCUGGGCUCAACCUAGGAAGUGCACUCGAAACUGCGAGACUUGAGUCCUGGAGAGGAAGGCGGAAUUCUCGGUGUAGAGGUGAAAUUCGUAGAUAUCGAGAGGAACACCGGUGGCGAAGGCGGCCUUCUGGACAGUGACUGACGCUGAGACGCGAAAGCGUGGGGAGCAAACAGG